GUUGAAGGAAGAACUUGAACAGCUGAUGGCAAUACGGAGCACAGACUUAUUAUGUCAUGCGUACAAUAAAGAGACCAAUAAAAAAUUUAUUCGCGUUCUUAUCUUAUUCGAUUACUUUUAUAAAUGUUAAUAAUAAAUUAUCUUAAUUCAAAAUUUACAAGGAGAAAUGUAUUAUACGUAUAUAUAAAUAAUUUAAGCAAGGAAAUCAAAUUUCCCGUAUCAAAACUGUAUCAAUGAUGGUUCAAGGAGAUCGUUUCCAUUUAUAUUAUUUAACUGAGCGCAUAUAAAUAAAUUGAUAUAUUAUUGUUAUUUUUGUAUUUUAAAACUCAGUGAGUGAACAAGAAAUAAGGUAACAAGUAACAGGGAAUACCGUAUUAUAUAAGAUUAUAGGUCAAUGAAAUUUGUGUAUAAUCUUUAUUUAUUAAUAAAUUAAUUUUUUUACAAUGUUGUUAUUGAUUUUAAUUUCAAUUUUCAAAUAAAUACAGGUAAACAUUUUUGUUUUAUAAGUGGAUGGUUUCACUACUGUGACACGAAGUUGUUUAUAUGCACUAUGCUAUUGGUGAGUCGACAAGUCGCUUUUCUUUUGUUUGUAUUCAACUUACAUUGUAACUAAAAUAAAUGUCAGUGUAGGUACUAUCUGAAAAAUUAAUUCAAUAAUUUUGUGUGUUUAAACUAUGUUUUUACAGCUUAGUAGACUUAAUUAAUUUUUCUACGACUUAAAAAUAUUUAAUCAACUUAUAAAGGAAUACAAUAUACUGUUAAUAACGUAAAAUCUAUUUUGUAUUGAUUUGAGCUCAGCAGUACCUGAUUCCGUUACCAGUCUUUUAUUAGAUUUUUUUGUCCAGUCUCCGCUUCAUUUUGGUGUAGGUCUCCUUCUCUGACGCUGAGCUGAGCAACAUGGCGGAUAUCUCCAAGGUUGAGCUGAAGAAAGAAAUUGCCGCCAUUCUUAAGGAUGCGGACCUCACCACAAUGUCGGCAAAGAAAGUCAGAGAAGAAAUUGAGGAGAAACUUGACUGUGAUCUUUCCAGCAGGCAA